UACGUAGGGUGCAAGCGUUGUCCGGAAUUAUUGGGCGUAAAGAGCUCGUAGGCGGUUUGUUGCGUCGGCUGUGAAAUCCCGAGGCUCAACCUCGGGUCUGCAGUCGAUACGAGCAAACUAGAGUGUUGCAGGGGAGACUGGAAUUCCUGGUGUAGCGGUGAAAUGCGCAGAUAUCAGGAGGAACACCGGUGGCGAAGGCGGGUCUCUGGGCAACAACUGACGCUGAGGCACGAAAGCGUGGGUAGCAAACAGG
rnacentral:rRNA from 1 species